rnacentral:rRNA from 1 species
UACAGAGGGUGCGAGCGUUAAUCGGAAUUACUGGGCGUAAAGCGUGCGCAGGCGGUCUUGCAAGACAGAUGUGAAAUCCCCGGGCUCCAACCUGGGAACUGCAUUUGUGACUGCAAGGCUGGAGUGCGGCAGAGGGGGAUGGAAUUCCGCGUGUAGCAGUGAAAUGCGUAGAUAUGCGGAGGAACACCGAUGGCGAAGGCAAUCCCCUGGGCCUGCACUGACGCUCAUGCACGAAAGCGUGGGGAGCAAACAGG